GGGAAGCAAAGGCCGUGGCUGAAGUCCUGCCCUCUGCUACGCCGUCCGCGUCUUAGCCAGCAGUUCAGGAAGGAAAAAUUGCCCAAGACUUGGAAAUGGGACAGAGAUUUUGGCACACCCUUUGAGUCAUGCUGGGUUUGGGAACAAGCUAACAGGCCGGCCCCAGCUCAGGUUAGCCUUGAACCCAGCGCCCUCCUGCCUCAGCUUCCGGUUACAGGCAUGAGCCAGUUUUCCAUCCUGCUGGCUCUCUCAUUUGUUAAAUAUGUCGUGUAGUUGCGUGAGUUCUAACCCACACACAUAGCGCCACCACCGUAAGGACGGGAACAGGCCUACCAGCCACAACUCUGCCAGCCCUCCAAACCAUGCUUUUGAGCACUUGGAAACCAUGCUGCGGCAGGGUGCAGACGGAAGUGCAUGCCUGGGAUGCUGUGGACACGCCUGCAUUUGUCCCCCUCUGUCAAGCCCAGGGUGAGGAUGGUGUUUCCUUUCCUGAGUUUCUGAAAGCUCCAGCAGGAAGGCAGCUUCCUAUCUCCUCCAGAAAGCCCGGCUGCGUGAGUCUGCGUCCUUCUGUCUCUAUAGUCCAAGGGACUGGAGACUUGUCCUCCACCAGGCCUUAGACGGAGGGAUUGUUUCUCAUCUGGAGGGUCAGGUCUGGACGCCCUGUCUCACACCAUCUAUGAGCCAAAGAGCGGCCCAAACCACAACCGAGAAACAUCUUAGAACACGUAUGCCUUUUCUGGUGCCCACUCUGCUCGGACACUAGUUCGUGUUUGUGACUCGUGCCCAUCUUUCCGGAACCACCCUUGCAGGGCUUCCUCAAGAACAGGGGAGGUUACUUGCCUCACAUCUGGCUUUGAGUGUCUAUGUGACGCACCCCAACAUGAGCACAUGAUAAAUGGCUCACAGGAGAUAAGGCUGGCCUCUGGGGGCUGCUCUGCAGAGAGGAACCCUCACUUCCACCCACUAGUCAACUGGAAAGCCAGAAGCGCCAGGCCUCCCCUCCCCACGAAGCUCGGGUGAGCUCUGCCUCAAGCUGAGCCUUUCUCGUGAACUGGCCCUUUGUGCUUAUAGGCAUCCUAAUUGCACAGGAAAGGCAGAAGGCAAACAGGUGUUAGCCCAGCACCUUACCGUCUGUGAGUUCUGCUCAGUACACCAGGAGCUGGCCUAGAAUGGGUGGGAAGGAGCAUAGCAAGGGGACCUUCUGUUCCUGUCUAGGAGAGGCUUUACUGACCUCUGUGCAGGGCUGAGAUUGUUGAGUGCUGUGGGCUGCCUAAAAAAAAGGAAAAAAAAUCUGAGAGAAAGUUGUGGAGUCUCUGAGAUGACAGGAUUGGAAACGUCCUCGUGUGGCUGGAAAAGCUGCCAUUACAGAGACCUGAAACUGUCUUGGUGCCUAACCUUUUUGUCCUUCCCUUUCUUGUGAGGUUGGGGUACUCUCUUAGAACAAAAAACUUCAGGUAAAUGAGGAAGGUGGCAUCAGAGGAAGGGAGGGAGCAGAUUUUCCAGUUCCACUCAUCCAGUGAGGAGCAGGGGUGGAGGGGGCUUCUGUAGAGCCAACUUCAUUUCAGACACGGCCUUCGAAACCCUUUCCCCUGAGCCAAGCACUGUACGCUCACAUUUUCACAGACCCUGUGACCUUUACUCAACAGAACCCGGGGAAAGCCAGAGCCCUCGUCCCUACUUUGAAGAGCGCGUGACAUGGCUAGCCCACUGCCACCUGAAUCACCCUUUCCAGAUGCGGUGAGAGGAAAGGCAACCAGCUGUGGUUGUGGGGAAAACCCUGGAUUCGGCUGUCAGUCAGAGGCAGGCCAGUCACACAGACAGCAGCUGCUGGUGGUCCUGCCUCCUCAUAAGGCAGCGGGAGGGGUGGCCCAGGCCUGGCGGCUUGCCAGAAGAUGCAUGCACUCCUGAGGCGCAAGAGUGCAUAGGAUUUAAAAAGAAAAAAAAAAAAAAACACAUUUUAGAGAUGGUUGAACUAUAUCCUCUAGGCUGGACUCGAACUUGCAAUCCUCCAGCCCCACCGUCCCAAGUUAAUUAUGGGGGGGAGGGGAACACCACACUGAGCAGAAGGACCCUUAGAAGCCUACGCCAUUGAUUUGGUGGGCUGUACAGGGCCUCCACACUGGACUGUGUGAAAGAGCCUGGGCUGAGCCCACACCGGUGAUCCCAGCACCCCAGGAGGCAGAGACAGGCGGAUUGCUGUGACUCCGAGGCCAUCCUGGUCUACAAAGUGAGUCCAGGACAGCCAAGGCUACAGAGAAACCCUGUCUUGAGAAAAAAACAAACAGGCAAACAAACAAAAAAGAGUCUGGGCUGGAUCUGAAUAAAAGCGGCUUCCUCCUCC